rnacentral:rRNA from 1 species
AUUGAACGCUGGCGGCAUGCCUUACACAUGCAAGUCGAACGGCAGCACGGGAGCAAUCCUGGUGGCGAGUGGCGAACGGGUGAGUAAUAUAUCGGAACGUGCCCAGUCGUGGGGGAUAACGCAGCGAAAGCUGUGCUAAUACCGCAUACGAUCUAAGGAUGAAAGCGGGGGAUCGCAAGACCUCGCGUGAUUGGAGCGGCCGAUAUCAGAUUAGCUAGUUGGUGGGGUAAAGGCCCACCAAGGCGACGAUCUGUAGCUGGUCUGAGAGGACGACCAGCCACACGGGAACUGAGACACGGUCCAGACUCCUACGGGAGGCAGCAGUGGGGAAUUUUGGACAAUGGGCGCAAGCCUGAUCCAGCAAUGCCGCGUGCAGGAUGAAGGCCUUCGGGUUGUAAACUGCUUUUGUACGGAACGAAACGGCCCUUUCUAAUACAGGGGGCUAAUGACGGUACCGUAAGAAUAAGCACCGGCUAACUACGUGCCAGCCGCCGCCGUAA